UACGUAGGGGGCAAGCGUUGCUCGGAAUCACUGGGCGUAAAGCGCACGUAGGCGGCUUUCUAAGUCAGAGGUGAAAUCCUGGAGCUCAACUCCAGAACUGCCUUUGAUACUGGAAAGCUUGAGUUCGGGAGAGGUGAGUGGAACUGCGAGUGUAGAGGUGAAAUUCGUAGAUAUUCGCAAGAACACCAGUGGCGAAGGCGGCUCACUGGCCCGAUACUGACGCUGAGGUGCGAAAGCGUGGGGAGCAAACAGG
rnacentral:rRNA from 1 species